rnacentral:rRNA from 1 species
ACUCCUACGGGAGGCAGCAGUGGGGAAUUUUGGACAAUGGGCGAAAGCCUGAUCCAGCAAUGCCGCGUGAGUGAAGAAGGCCUUCGGGUUGUAAAGCUCUUUUGUCAGGGAAGAAACGGUGAAAGCUAAUAUCUUUUGCUAAUGACGGUACCUGAAGAAUAAGCACCGGCUAACUACGUGCCAGCAGCCGCGGUAAUACGUAGGGUGCAAGCGUUAAUCGGAAUUACUGGGCGUAAAGCGUGCGCAGGCGGUUUUGUAAGUCUGAUGUGAAAUCCCCGGGCUCAACCUGGGAAUUGCAUUGGAGACUGCAAGGCUAGAAUCUGGCAGAGGGGGGUAGAAUUCCACGUGUAGCAGUGAAAUGCGUAGAUAUGUGGAGGAACACCGAUGGCGAAGGCAGCCCCCUGGGUCAAGAUUGACGCUCAUGCACGAAAGCGUGGGGAGCAAACAGGAUUAGAUACCCCAGUAGUCCCAUGAU